rnacentral:lncRNA from 1 species
AGGAGAUGAAAAAUGCUAUAUCACCAAUUAUAUUGAAAAUGCAAUGUUCCAAUAAUCAACUUGUGUAUCAAAAAGGCACUACAAGGCAUAGCACAUAUGCUACAAGACCCAAAAAUGAUCACUUCCAUUCAUGCUUGUGCUAUACAACAACACAAAUAUAACCUCUCUCUUGUUCACCGGCAAACAAGCAAAAAUGCAAAAUAACAAUGUACAUCAGUUUUCUGUCCAAGCUACCGUCAGUAAUUCGAU